rnacentral:ncRNA from 1 species
GAAAUAAUAAUUAAAAGGGAAUCAGGUGGGAAUCCUGAACAGUCCCGUUGCUGUGUGUUUCAUUAAAAUGUAGUAAAUACAUACUUCAUGCCACUGAAAGACCAAGAGUCGAUUGGGAAGGCGUUUACUAUAGAAACAAGUCAGAAGACCUGCCAUGCAAUAUG